rnacentral:lncRNA from 1 species
UCUGUCCCGCGAUGUCCAUGGCCACCGGAGUAGGCGAUGUUGAGCAGCUUCCGGUGAGCCCACGCGCCUCCCCUCCCUCCCAGCUCUCUCAUCCUCGUGCGUUUGACCUCCAUGCAUGUGGAGACAAAGACGACGGCGUGGCUCCGACGAGGUAGAUAGGGAGGAUCCAGAUCUGGAGUCUCUCUCUCCCUCCUUCUCCCACUGGAUCUAGAUCUGGUCCCUCCUCCUACACCUCCUCCACCUCCUCUUCUUCUCCUUCUAGAUCUAAGGAUUUGGUGGUAGCUAGUGUUCCAGUGAGUCAGAUCUCGUCGCUGUUUUGCAAUGAUUCAUUUUCAAUGUUGCAACAGAUGAUGUGGAAUGUUGCAACGAUACUUUUUUUUGUUUGUUGCAACAGGCGUUUCUCUGAUGUUGCAGAGCAGUUCUUGAGAUGUUUUAUUUUGUUUUUUUCGUUGUUGCACCAGAUUCUCCCUCGAUGUCGCAGUAGAUUUUUUUGUUGCAACAGGCGUUUUUUCAGUAGUGAUUGAAAUGUUGUAAUAGUUUUUCUCAUUGUUGCAGCAGAUUCUCUCCCGAUGUUGCAGUAGAUUUUUUGUUGCAACAGAUGUUUUUUUAUGUUGCAUUAGUAGUACUUGAGAUGUUGUAAUAGCUUUUUUAUCAAUGUUUCAGCAGAUUUUCCUCGAUGCUGCAGUAGACUUUUUUUUAUGUUGAAGUUUAUAUUUUUGUUUGUUGCAUUAGAUGGUUUCCAAUAUUUCAAUAGCUUUUUCCGUUUGUUUUAGUAGUGUUUUUUUCUUUUUGUUGCAUUUUAGAUGUUCUUUGAUGUUUGCAAUAGUUGUAGCUAGAGGACAGACUAUGGUGGUGAGCUGGUGGUUGGGUCAGAGGUGCUGGGUUGGCGAGGUUGUGAGCGGAUAGAUCUGUGCACGUGAGGUCGCCUUUCUUCUCUGUGCGGGAGUGGGCAGGAGUCGUUUUCAGUGGAGACGAGUUGGCAGCAGACGGAUAUGCUAGAGUGAGACGAGGUGAGGGGCGGAUCCCAUACUCGUGGGAUUGGGGAUGGGCUCCUUGUGCGGGGAGCGAACGAAGGUGGUCUUUUGUACGGGGCGAGUUAGUUGGGGGCGGACGAGUUUUUUCUCCGUAUAGUGCGGGUGGAGAGCUCGUCGUUUGAACGCACUGCUGACGCCGAACGUCCGGACGCUAUAAAUAUCAAAUGUAGCAUGUACCUGGACCGACGUCUCACGAUCCAACGACAUACACCAAGGAUAGCAGCGGCGACGGAGACCAAGGAUCGUGUGCCGAAGUGGGAGCCUUACAAUUUUAUACAAAGCCGUGGUAAAGUACUUAGCCAAAGCAUACACGUGGCAAAUAGCGGAUGGAUGUAUUCACACGAGUCGUAUGGAUACAAUUUCCACUUAAACACAUUGACUAAAAGAAGCUAAAAUAGUUUAAUCCCAUUAAUCACAUAAAAGUAGCUAAAAUAAUUUUAACUAGCUAAAAUUUAGUAAAAAAAACCAAACAAACCCUUAAUAUUCUUCUGAUCCAGAAAAAAACCGGU